GGUCAAGUGAAUAAGAGCAUGUGGUGGAUGCCUUGGCGAUGAUAGGCGACGAAGGACGUGAUAGCCUGCGAUAAGCUUCGGGGAGCUGGCAAAUGAGCUUUGAUCCGGAGAUUUCCGAAUGGGGAAACCCACCUGCAAAGGUAUCGCACACUGAAUACAUAGGUGUGCGAGGCGAACCGGGUGAACUGAAACAUCUCAGUAGCUCGAGGAAAAGACAUCAACCGAGAUUCCGAAAGUAGUGGCGAGCGAAAUUGGAAGAGCCUGCUAGUGAUAGCACGACACUUAACAAAACAGUCUGGAAAGGCUGACCACAGUGGGUGAUAGUCCCGUAUGUGAAAAGAGACGUGUGGUACUGAGCUAGCGAAAAGUAGGGCGGGACACGAGAAAUCCUGUUUGAAUAUGGGGGGACCAUCCUCCAAGGCUAAAUACUCAUCAUC
rnacentral:rRNA from 1 species